CCUACGGGAGGCUGCAGUGAGGAAUAUUGGUCAAUGGACGAGAGUCUGAACCAGCGACGUCGCGUGAAGGAUGACUGCCCUAUGGGUUGUAAACUUCUUUUAUAUGGGAAUAAAACGUUCCACGUGUGGGAUUUUGUAUGUACCAUAUGAAUAAGGAUCGGCUAACUCCGUGCCAGCAGCCGCGUUAAUACGGAGGAUCCGAGCGUUAUCCGGAUUUAUUGGGUUUAAAGGGAGCGUCGGGGGAUUGUUAAGUCAGUUGUGAAAGUUUGCGGCUCAACCGUAAAAUUGCAGUUGAAACUGGCAGUCUUGAGUACAGUAGAGGUGGGCGGAAUUCGUGGUGUAGCGGUGAAAUGCUUAGAUAUCACGAAGAACUCCGAUUGCGAAGGCAGUUCACUGGACUGCAACUGACACUGAGGCUCGAAAGUGUGGGUAUCAAACAGGAUUAGAUACCCCAGUAGUC
rnacentral:rRNA from 1 species